UAGUGUUACAGCUCUUUUAGAAUUUGUCUAGCAGGCUUCCCAAUUUUUGCAGGAAAGCCCCU
rfam:Chlorocebus sabaeus isolate 1994-021 chromosome 4, whole genome shotgun sequence.